rnacentral:rRNA from 1 species
CAGGAUGAACGCUAGCGGCAGGCCUAAUACAUGCAAGUCGAACGGUGAUAGCAAUAUCAUAGUGGCGCACGGGUGCGUAACACGUAUGCAACCUACCUAUUAUUGGGGGAUAGCCUUUGGAAACGGAGAUUAAUACCGCAUAAUACGAUUGACUGGCAUCGGUUGAUUGUUAAAGCUUUGGCGAUAAUAGAUGGGCAUGCGUCCAAUUAGUUAGUUGGUUAGGUAACGGCUGACCAAGACAAUGAUUGGUAGGGGAUCUGAGAGGAUAAUCCCCCACACUGGCACUGAGAUACGGGCCACACUCCUACGGGAGGCAGCAGUAGGGAAUAUUGGGCAAUGGGCGGAAGCCUGACCCAGCCAUGCCGCGUGCAGGAAGAAGGCGUUAUGCGUUGUAAACUGCUUUUUUAUAGGAAGAAGGAUCCCUUGCGAGGGAAGGUGACGGUACUAUAAGAAUAAGCACCGGCUAACUCCGUGCCAGCAGCCGCGGUAAUACGGAGGGUGCAAGCGUUGUCCGGAUUUAUUGGGUUUAAAGGGUGCGUAGGCGGUUUAUUAAGUCAGUGGUGAAAGACGGUCGCUCAACGAUUGCAGUGCCAUUGAUACUGGUAGACUUGAGUGAGAUUGAGGUAGCUGGAAUGGAUAGUGUAG